rnacentral:rRNA from 1 species
AUUGAACGCUGGCGGAAUGCUUUACACAUGCAAGUCGAACGGCAGCACGGACUUCGGUCUGGUGGCGAGUGGCGAACGGGUGAGUAAUGUAUCGGAACGUGCCCAGUCGUGGGGGAUAACGUUGUGAAAAUUACGCUAAUACCGCAUACGAUGUAUGGAUGAAAGCGGGGGAUCGCAAGACCUCGCGCGAUUGGAGCGGCCGAUAUAAGAUUAGGUAGUUGGUGGGGUAAAGGCCCACCAAGCCAACGAUCUGUAGCUGGUCCGAGAGGACGACCAGCCACACUGGAACUGAGACACGGUCCAGACUCCUACGGGAGGCAGCAGUGGGGAAUUUUGGACAAUGGGCGAAAGCCUGAUCCAGCCAUUCCGCGUGCAGGAUGAAGGCCCUCGUGUUGUAAACUGCUUUUGUACAGAACGAAAAGGUUUCUACUAAUACUAGGAGCUCAUGACGGUACUGUAAGAAUAAGCACCGGCUAACUACGUGCCAGCCGCCGCCGUAA